GAUGAAGAACGUAGCGAAAUGCGAUAAGUAAUGUGAAUUGCAGAAUUCAGUGAAUCAUCGAAUCUUUGAACGCACAUUGCGCCCUCUGGUAUUCCGGGGGGCAUGCCUGUUCGAGCGUCAUUAUAACCACUCAAGCUCUCGCUUGGUAUUGGGGUUCGCGGUUUCGCGGCCCCUAAAAUCAGUGGCGGUGCCUGUCGGCUUUACGCGUAGUAAUACUUCUCGCGAUUGAGUUCGAUAGGUCUACUUGCCAGUAACCCCCAAUUUUUACAGGUUGACCUCGGAUCAGGUAGGGAUACCCGCUGAACUUAAGCAUAUCAAUAAGCGGAGGA
rnacentral:misc_RNA from 1 species